GCCGUUGUGGCUCAGGGGUAGAGCAGCUCACUUGUAAUGAGCAGGUCGGGAGUUCGAAUCUCCCCAACGGCUCCA
rnacentral:tRNA from 1 species